rnacentral:misc_RNA from 1 species
CUGAAAAGUGGACAACAGCUUUAUUGUAUGAUCAAACUAUAAGAACAUCUGUGUAACAAUGGUAUUACAUAAAAAUGAAUCACACUCUCGCUAAUUAAUUAAUUAAUCCUCUCAUCACAAUCUAAUACAAGAAAGCUACAACAAUUGACAAAAAGGUGGCGGAGAGACCGGCGACGCUCAGAGAUCUAGCAGAGCUGUUUGGUGGAGGUGGGGCGGUAGUUGGAGAUGGGGUAGAGGGGUUUGUUGGGGUGGUUGGGGUGGUGGAGGAUGGUGGUGUAGCGUUGGAGGAUGGUGGUGUAGCUGUGGAAGAUGGUGGUGUAGCGGUGCCGCUGCUGGUGACAUUGAUGGCUAGCUUUUGGCCAGCAGAGCAGUGGCCGGGGAUGGCACAAACGUAGAAAUGCUCACCGGCGGAGAGAGUGAUUCUAGUUGGUGGGCUGGACCGGAGAGAGAUUGGGUUAGUGGUAUUGCAUGAGUCGUAAUUUGCCUUUGUCACCUCAGCCACAUCAUGUGCUCCAUUGUUAUAGUUGAAAACCAAGAUGUCUCCAGGCUUGAAGUUCUUGCCGGAAGCCCAGUUCUGGUAGAAAGUGGCAGUAUUAGAAAGAAGAGUCCAGCCCUGAUUGUCUCCAACAGUGUAAGUUACUCCACUACCGGAUGGUGCUGGUGAUGGGGCAGAAACCGGUGAAGGUGGUGGUGUAGAAACUGGAGAAGGUGAUGGGGCAGAAACUGGAGGAGGAGUGCUGGGCUGAGGAGCAGGAGUAGGAGUAGGAGUAGAAGGUUGAGGCGCCGGAGAAGAAGAAGAAGGUUGGGGAGCUGGAGAAGAAGUUGCAGCACUAACAUUGAUCAUCAACUUUUGACCAGCAGAGCAGUGGCCGGAAAAAUUGCAGAUGAAAUAGUGCUCUCCGGUAGCAUUAAUGGUGAAUCUAGCAGGGCUGGCGGUUUGCAAAGAAAUAGGAUUGGUUGUGGUGCAAGCAUCAUAAUCAGCUUUUCUUACUUUGGCCACAUCAUGUUGGUUGGCCGCAAAAUUAAACACAAGAGUAUCACCAACAGAGAAGGCUUGGUUUGCAGCCCAGUUGGAAUACAAUGUGGGACUGGCGGUAGGAAUAAUCCAGCCAGAGUUAUUACCCACGACAUGGGUUGUCUGAGCGGCGGAGCUCUGAAUCAAAGCAGCAACCAAAACUGCUGCAAGAAAUGUCAUGAUUAAAUUUCUUGCCAUGGAAAUGUGUUCUGAAGGUCAGGUCGCCCCUGUUCUGUUUUUACUCUGUUUCUGUCCUGUUAAGUGAUACACUGUUUUCUAGCGUUGGAGAUGAGAUGACUGAACAUAUGCUUGUGGCCUUUUCAAUUUAUAGAAUUUUUGUUCGGGCCUCAGGGACAUUGGCUGCAACGUG